GCCUGGAUGGCUCAGUCAGUUAAGUGUCUGACUUCAGCUCAGGUCCUGAUCUCACAGUUUGUGGGUUCAAGCCCCGCAUCGGGCU
rnacentral:tRNA from 1 species